AUUGAACGCUGGCGGCAGGCCUAACACAUGCAAGUCGAACGAGCGGCGGACGGGUGAGUAAUGUCUGGGGAUCUGCCUGAUGGCGGGGGAUAACUACUGGAAACGGUAGCUAAUACCGCAUACCAUCAGAUGUACCCAUAUGGGAUUAGCUAGUAGGUAGGGUAACGGCUUACCUAGGCGACGAUCCCUAGCUGGUCUGAGAGGAUGAUCAGCCAAACUGGAACUGAGACACGGCCCAGACUCCUACGGGAGGCAGCAGUGGGGAAUAUUGCACAAUGGGCGCAAGCCUGAUGCAGCCAUGCCGCGUGUAUGAAGAAGGCCUUCGGGUUGUAAAGUACUUUCAGUGGGGAGGCGUUACUGACAGAAGAAGCACCGGCUAACUCCGUGCCAGCAGCCGCGGUAAUAC
rnacentral:rRNA from 1 species